rnacentral:rRNA from 1 species
AAUGGCCUAACGGCUGAACCAGCAACUUGGAAGAACGUAUAGCAAAAGCUAGUUACCUCUAAGGUAAAUAUCGAUAUACUCGAAUAAAGUUCUAAAUAGAAUUAUGAUAAUGACAUAUUUUAUUUAUUAGUCUUGACUAAUUUGCGUGCCAGCAGUCGCGGUAAUACGCAUAAGACUAGUGUUAUUCAUCUUUAAUAGGUUUAAAGGGUACCUAGACAGUAAAUAAAGCCCCAAGGAACUCAUUUACUAGAGUUAAAUAUGAGGGAGCUAUCAGGUACUAGUGGUGUAGAGAUGAAAUUCUUUGAUACUUCGCUUCGCGAGAGUAAACAUGGCACAGAUAGAGGCGUAAGCAUCUCCUUAUAGCAUAGCUUCGUAUAACAAAAAGGAUUAGAUACCCUCGUAGUUGAAAGCAGAAAAUGAUGAGUGCCAUAAGGUAUUUUACUUUAUAAACGAUAGUGUAAGCAUUCCACCUCAAGAGUAAUUUGGCAACAUUGGAACUGAAAUCAUUAGACCGUUUCUGAAACCAGUAGUGAAGUAUGUUGUUUAAUUUGAUAAUCCGCAAAAAACCUUACCAUGAAUAUUUACAAGAGCUGCACGGCUGUCUUCAGCUAAUGUCGUGAGAUUUUGGUUAGUUCCAUUAAAUUAGCGUAAGCCCUUACUUUAUUUUUAAAUAAAGUAGUUCUCCACUAGAUUGGAUCAGAUAAUAGGGACUAAGACAAGUCAUCAUGGCCAUAACUGUAGUAAGCCUUAACAAAGGGAUGUGAAAUUGCGAGAUUAAGCCAAUCCUCCAAAAAU